ACAACAACAAUAAAAAAUGCGACAACCCAAUAAAAAUAAGACGUACCGGCUCUGACAUAACAAGAACAACACGGCAGAGGCGCAGCUAACAGAUUUUUUUGAAGUGGAUGGCUUUUCGGGGGCGUGCCCCGCGACCUGACAGAGAACAAUAAAACUACCCCAAGGUAGCGCCCGUCUCGGUUGGAUCAGCAAUGAUAAAGGUCGAUCAGCGCUCAAAAAAAUACGUUUGCUCUUGAUCCCGGAUGGGGAUCGCAACGCAACAAGAGGCAAGGGUCGCCAAAAACAACAAUAGACCACCCUUCAAUAAUAAAAAGAGCACACGCAACAAAAUUUGAGGGGAGCCCAGGCUCCCCUCAGUGCUUGCUGCCCUACUCGUUCUGCUGGUCAU
rfam:Pseudomonas putida strain TASWS0946 Contig156, whole genome shotgun sequence.